rnacentral:rRNA from 1 species
AUUGAACGCUGGCGGCAGGCCUAACACAUGCAAGUCGAACGAGUGGCGGACGGGUGAGUAAUGUUUGGGAAUCUGCCUUAUGGAGGGGGAUAACUACGGGAAACUGUAGCUAAUACCGCGUACCAUAGGAUGAGCCCAAGUGGGAUUAGCUAGUAGGUGGGGUAUCGGCUCACCUAGGCGACGAUCCCUAGCUGGUCUGAGAGGAUGACCAGCCACACUGGAACUGAGACACGGUCCAGACUCCUACGGGAGGCAGCAGUGGGGAAUAUUGCACAAUGGGCGCAAGCCUGAUGCAGCCAUGCCGCGUGUAUGAAGAAGGCCUUCGGGUUGUAAAGUACUUUCAGCGAGGAGGCGUUACUCGCAGAAGAAGCACCGGCUAACUCCGUGCCAGCCGCCGCGGUAAUAC